AAACAAUUAAUUGUUAUUGUAUUCCUGUCAUAAUUUCUGCUACUUUUAGGCAACUUGUGGUCUUAAAGCUCUUAAAAAUUAAAAAAGAAAGAUGCAAGCGGUAAAAAGGAUGCAAGAUGUUAGCAAAUUUGCUAGGAUAUUGGACAGCGCUGCGAAGGCAAAUCAGAAUACUAUUCUUACAACGGCCAGAAGGACGAUACCAAAUGGUCAGAUGUUUAUGAGACAUGUUAGUUACCAACAUGUAAACAGAAUUUUUGCUGAACCAUCAGUGCGAUUUUCAUGGCCCGCAAAAGUUAUUGUAGGAAUAGUUUCGUUUAUAGUUAUGAACUCGGUUCCGAUCUAUUUCACCCUUCAAAUACCAGAAUACCGAAUAAAGAGACUUGGAUAUUAACUUUUUGACAAUUGUUACCCUUUUUGUUGUUGUUCUCUUUGAAUUGUUACUUAAAGAUUUAUUCAUCUUUCAUGUUUGUAUUAUUUAAUAAAAGAAAUGUGUUCCUUAA